GACGAACGCUGGCGGCGUGCUUAACACAUGCAAGUCGAACGCUGAAGACCUGGCUUUUGUUGGGUUGGAUGAGUGGCGAACGGGUGAGUAACACGUGAGUAACCUGCCCUCUUCUUUGGGAUAACGCCCGGAGACGGGUGCUAAUACUGGAUAUUCACUGAUCUUCGCAUGGGGGUUGGUGGAAAGGUUUGUUCUGGUGGGGGAUGGGCUCGCGGCCUAUCAGCUUGUUGGUGGGGUGAUGGCCUACCAAGGCUUUGACGGGUAGCCGGCCUGAGAGGGUGACCGGUCACAUUGGGACUGAGAUACGGCCCAGACUCCUACGGGAGGCAGCAGUGGGGAAUAUUGCACAAUGGGCGAAAGCCUGAUGCAGCGACGCCGCGUGAGGGAUGGAGGCCUUCGGGUUGUAAACCUCUUUCGCUCAUGGUCAAGCCGCAACUGUGGGUUGUGGUGAGGGUAGUGGGUAAAGAAGCGCCGGCUAACUACGUG
rnacentral:rRNA from 1 species